UCCCUCCGGGGCUGGGCUGCUUAUCUCAACAGCAGCAGUCUCACGUCUACGAGGCAGCAGAGCUGGAAGCUGGCAUUUCAAGGGCAGUCUGGUAAAGGAGCCAGGAAUUUUAUUUAUACCCAUGUUACGGGUGAGGAAACUGAGACCCGGAGAGGAUAAGAGACUUGCUCACGGUGACAUAGCAAGUCAAAGGCAAAGGAAUGAAGACUUUCUAUCUGGCCUGUCUGGAAUGUGUGUCAAAUGGAAGGAAAUCAGACUAAAUGAGGAGUUUCUGAUGGGGAAUGUGGGUCCACGUGGUGCUGUGAAGACUCCCCUGGAACGACCUUGAUUUCUUCUUAAGCAGCGCACCUGGGCCAGUUGGGGCGAUGUGCUGCCUGUCCCUCCCAGGGUGUCUGGGAGCAGCAUCCCCGCAGGCGCCCCUCCUGCCACCAUGGACACUUACCUCCAUGCUGUACCUCUCCACCGUCCUCCUCAGGGGGUCCACAGCCUGCCAGCAAAUCAGGAUACACAGGUCGA